GAUGAAGAACGUAGCAAAAUGCGAUAAGUAAUGUGAAUUGCAGAAUUCAGUGAAUCAUCGAAUCUUUGAACGCACAUUGCGCCCCUUGGUAUUCCGGGGGGCAUGCCUGUUCGAGCGUCAUUUCAACCCUCAAGCUCUGCUUGGUCUUGGGCCGCGCCGGCGACGGCGGGCCUCAAAAACAGUGGCGGCGCCAUCUGGUUCCUCAGCGUAGUAAUUCUUCUCGCUGUUGGGCCCGGGUGGCCGCUGGCCAGCAACCCCAAAUUUUCUAUGGUUGACCUCGGAUCAGGUAGGGAUACCCGCUGAACUUAAGCAUAUCAAUAAGCGGAGGA
rnacentral:misc_RNA from 1 species